rnacentral:lncRNA from 1 species
GUUUGCUAAGAGAGCUCCUGUGGUUUAGGCUAGGUUUAUAGAAAGUGUCUCAGUGGUCUUGCUGGAUUUCGUGUUGAUUAGACCUCAUCAGGAAUGGUCCGUUCAAGGACAGUUACAGAGAUUCCUGAAGGAUAUCCAGAGGGAGGGGUUUGGAAUAGCUAGUGACCUAGAAACCAUAUCACACGGUUGUAGGAGAAAGAGAUGUUUAAUCCACAGAGAUGAAGAAUUGAGGGAGGGCUCCCGAUGGGUGGUCUUUGAGCGCGGUGUUUUACACAGAAGAUGGAUUGGAUUUCUCUGUGUGGUGUACGAAGGCAAAGCUGGAACCAGUGGGCCCAAGGUUUAGGGACAAGAAUAUCUGCUCACCAUGAGUACUGAGUAUUGACAACGAGGAGUCAGCUUCCUGCGUGGGGGCAGUGGUUUCUCUAUGUGUUUAUACUUAAGGCGCUGAGUUAUUCCAGGAAAGCCAAAAUCCAAGGAGAAAGGCAGCCUUUGGAGAGGGUGUUUUCCAUUGCUAGAGGGGGUUAGGACUAGGCUGAGAGAUUAUUUUUCAGGGAUGUGGUUAUAUCUGAGGGCCGCUGAAGCCCGCCCAUCCUGAAUGUCUGUGAGAUUCUGCAAGGAGAGAGUCUGAGAAAAGGUAAUUGCUAUACUCUGUUUAAGAAGAAUGAGUAAAUGUCCUUGGGUAUAAUUUGUUCCUAUGAUCAUUCUCUCCUAAUUUUGAUCUAGUUAGUGACCAUAAUCCUUCUUUGUAAAUAAACCUUCUUUGACAUUUGCAGUGAACAAUUAUAUUUCUCUAAACACAUACGGAUAUUGUAGCAUUCGAAAGGCUCCUGCAGUUUCGUGCGAGGGUGCUGAGCCUUCCCCCCACCACCCAAACAUUAUCUGACUCUUUGCAGCUACACUCAACUUGGAACAGAGUUUUAAAAGCUGCAUCCUAAGAAUAAAGUUAACUUUACAAAGGAGGAGAGAGUUGGUAAACUACGCAUUUUAUGACAACGGCUUAAGCUCGAGAACAGCAUCCAUCAAGGUUGAAAAGACCUCACCACCUGGCACAAUGAAGUAAUUUUAGAACUCUCUGCUCCAGCAGAGAAGAAGAAAACAACUGUGGGAGUGAGAUUUCUUUCUGACAAGGAAAGAAAAACCAAAGGAGGAAGAAAAAAUAAAACGCUUCUGGGGGAUUAAGAGUACUGAAUAAGUGAGAAAUACUCAGGGAGGCUCAAAAUGAAAUAACAGGAAAUCAUUCCAGGGGCUGAAAAACACUUAGGCCAGGAGAGAGAGUCUCCUCCCUCAGCCUUUCCAGGCUUCUCCCAGAGGGAUGUGUUUUGAGUCCGAAGCUUGUCCGGUUCUGGCGAAGGGUGCCUGCUGGGCGAGUGCAGCGAGGAGACGGCCGCUGGUGUGUGAAGCGGAGGAGCGGCUUUGAUCUUAGGACUGUUGUCUGGAAUGUCCUGAAUUAGGGCUAUUAGUGAUCAUUUCCUCUGAGAAGUCCUAUUUCAGAACGUUCUUCUCUCGAAUUUCCUGGCUACUAACAGCUUCCUCUUCAUGCUGCCUUUAUAGCUUUUUCAAGAGGCUAAAGAAAAGAAUGUGAGGACUCCAGGCUCUUCUUCAUCAGCAUCUUCUAGCUGCUGUUAAUCGUCGUCGCAUCCUGCUAGGCACACGGCUGCUCCCUCAGUUCUCAGAGCACCUGAACGUCACAAAACGCCCGUGUUGACCGAUUCCUAGGAAGAGAAAAGCGUGUUGCCAGGAAGACUUAUUCACGUUCGAGUCUUGCCUCCAAAUGCAGUCUUUGAUUAAAUUUCCUGGGGAAAUGUGUGUAGAGGACCAUCCCGCAGAGACAGACAGAAGGACCACCUGCUGAGACGGACACGGGUUUGUUUUCGGAGCUCCAGCUGAGCGCCCUGCCAGCCUGGGCACGGUGGGGAGGGUUUCCCUCUCGUCUCAGCAGCGAACGUGUCUCCCGGGGACAGUCCGCUCAGUGUCGGGGGACAGGGAGGAAUGCAUCUGCGGGGCUUGAGGGUCUGACGGCUGACGUGCGCAUAGGAGGCGGGCAGCACAAAGCCCAGCGUCUCUGUCCUCCUGCGCGAGGCUGGAACGUGGCGGGGGCAGCUUCCUGUUGAGGCCCCAGAAGCCGUUGCGUUGGGGGACAGUUCAGGAGGAGAAGCCAUCGGAUUGGACCAAGGAGAUCCUGGGUUCUGCCAAAUCUAGCAAGGGGGCAGCUGAGCUGGCGGACGUUUACCUUUAAGUGUGAUGGUACCGGCCCCCAAAUGUUCUGGAGUGACUUGGCCCUGCAGACAUUUCCUGUGCAGGAUGAAGGAGCUGAACCAGAACAUGGACUGAGACAGCAGGCUGCUUCACUCACUCCGCCAGGUGGGACACGGGAGAGAAACGAAGCCAGAACAUAAGAAAUUUCACUCUGGACAGCGCCUGAUUAGAAAUCCAUGAAGCGCAGUCAGUAUGAGAAGACAGGGCAAGUCGCUCUGCCCACCGGUGAGGACAAGCUUUAAUCGCUUCCCUCAAACGAGGGUUUUGUCACAUUUCCGUCCAAACUUCUACAGAGACAAACUCAAGUCGGGGAAGUUUGAGAGAACUUUCUCCAGGAGUUACAGUGGAGGAGACGACUUUGACGUAUGGCUUAAGAAGAGUCACUGCCCGGCCCCACCUUCUGCAGGGGCCCCAGGCUGCUGCCAUAUUUAGACCCGAGACGUUUCCACCGGAAAACAGACCUAGUCCCGUAUUCUUUUUGCUCCACAUUCUCUUUAGUGAGUGGGAGGUGGGGUCCUGUCCCAGUUCUUCAAGGCUCCAGGUUCCAGACCCUCUCAAUUCGCUUUCUCCAGGAAAUAGCCUGUCGCCGCCUCCGGGGGUGGCGGGCGGGCCUGGGUGGCCCAGAAAGCAGAGCCUGAGGAGGAGGGUGCGAGGUCUGGGACUUUGCUGGAGAGCAAUCCCAGGAGCGGGAGGGAGGGGCACAGGAAAGGGCUGGGGCGGGCAGGGCCAAAUGAGGGGGCACUAUUGAUCUGCCCACCGGGACAAGUGAAUGACCACUUGGUCUCCCGGGACCACCCUCUGGUCCAGGGCAAGUAAGCGUGUGAACUGUGAUCAGGGCCAUCGAUGGGGCAGUGUGGAGAGGGUGGGAGAAUUGAUCUCCUGUUUCAUUCCUCUUGUUGAUUGAAGAAUUGUCCCCAGCCCCUCC